rnacentral:rRNA from 1 species
AUGAACGCUAGCUACAGGCUUAACACAUGCAAGUCGAGGGGCAGCAUGAACUUAGCUUGCUAAGUUUGAUGGCGACCGGCGCACGGGUGAGUAACACGUAUCCAACCUGCCGAUGACUCGGGGAUAGCCUUUCGAAAGAAAGAUUAAUACCCGAUGGCAUAGUUCUUCCGCAUGGUGGAACUAUUAAAGAAUUUCGGUCAUCGAUGGGGAUGCGUUCCAUUAGGUUGUUGGCGGGGUAACGGCCCACCAAGCCUUCGAUGGAUAGGGGUUCUGAGAGGAAGGUCCCCCACAUUGGAACUGAGACACGGUCCAAACUCCUACGGGAGGCAGCAGUGAGGAAUAUUGGUCAAUGGACGAGAGUCUGAACCAGCCAAGUAGCGUGAAGGAUGACUGCCCUAUGGGUUGUAAACUUCUUUUAUACGGGAAUAAAGUGAGGCACGCGUGCCUUUUUGUAUGUACCGUAUGAAUAAGGAUCGGCUAACUCCGUGCCAGCAGCCGCGGUAAUACGGAGGAUCCGAGCGUUAUCCGGAUUUAUUGGGUUUAAAGGGAGCGUAGGCGGACGCUUAAGUCAGUUGUGAAAGUUUGCGGCUCAACCGUAAAAUUGCAGUUGAUACUGGGUGUCUUGAGUACAGUAGAGGCAGGCGGAAUUCGUGGUGUAGCGGUGAAAUGCUUAGAUAUCACGAAGAACUCCGAUUGCGAAGGCAGCCUGCUGGACUGUAACUGACGCUGAUGCUCGAAAGUGUGGGUAUCAAACAGGAUUAGAUACCCUGGUAGUCCACGCUGUAAACGAUGAUUACUAGGUGUGGGGGGUCUGACCCCUUCCGUGCCGGAGUUAACACAAUAAGUAAUCCACCUGGGGAGUACGGCCGCAAGGUUGAAACUCAAAGGAAUUGACGGGGGCCCGCACAAGCGGAGGAACAUGUGGUUUAAUUCGAUGAUACGCGAGGAACCUUACCCGGGCUUGAAUUGCAACUGAAUGAUGUGGAGACAUGUCAGCCGCAAGGCAGUUGUGAAGGUGCUGCAUGGUUGUCGUCAGCUCGUGCCGUGAGGUGUCGGCUUAAGUGCCAUAACGAGCGCAACCCUUAUCGAUAGUUACCAUCAGGUUAUGCUGGGGACUCUGUCGAGACUGCCGUCGUAAGAUGUGAGGAAGGUGGGGAUGACGUCAAAUCAGCACGGCCCUUACGUCCGGGGCUACACACGUGUUACAAUGGGGGGUACAGAAGGCAGCUACACGGCGACGUGAUGCUAAUCCCGAAAGCCUCUCUCAGUUCGGAUUGGAGUCUGCAACCCGACUCCAUGAAGCUGGAUUCGCUAGUAAUCGCGCAUCAGCCACGGCGCGGUGAAUACGUUCCCGGGCCUUGUACACACCGCCCGUCAAGCCAUGAAAGCCGGGGGUACCUGAAGUGCGUAACCGCGAGGAGCGCCCUAGGGUAAAACUGGUGAUUGGGGCU